UUAGGUCUUCUUCCCCCUCUGCUUCUCACCUAAAAACGAGCCGCCGCCAGUUCCUUCUCCUCAGAUCCCCUUCUCUCCAAAGUCGCCCUUGCCAUCGAUGCCGGCCUGGAGCAAGGAGAUGGCGGCGGAGCUGGUGCAGGUUGCGUCCGCGCUGUCCGUGCCCUCUUCGGUAGCCGCUUCCCCUUGUCUUCCAAGUGUGCCGCCACCCCUCCCUGCUGUGAGUUAGUGACCGGAGAGGAAGAACCAGAUCCAAGCCGACGAGCACUAGGGCGAGGUCCCCAUGAACAGGAUCCAUCGUCUCCAACCGCGGGAGGAGCCGUGCUGUCCCGCUCGCCGUUCCUUCUGCCCUUCUCGAACCGAGGAUCCACGCUGACGACCCCCUUGAUGCCCAAGCAGGUCCGCCCUGCCACCUAGUCCACGAAGGACCGCGGACAUGCUCGGUUCCACCACCAUGCCUCUGCCUCUAACAAGCAUCAAAGAAUUGAGAAGGCUUGAGAAAGAGGAGAGAGCUAGGGAAAAGAUGGUUUAGAACGAUAUGAUGCUAGGAGGCUUCUCGCAUUCAACUGGAGUUGGCAAACUAUGGCAGGAGCUUUUGGAUGUUCACUCAGAUGUUUGUUUCAAGUUUUCAUGGUACACCGUAGAUGAAGAAGAGACCGUGUGCAAUUAUUAUCUGAGACGAUGCAAAGGCGAUAAAACUUGUGUGGCGUUAUAUGGAAAAAAAGGAUAGGAGGGUGGUGUAAGGGAAACUUUGGUUGGCCAGAUCAUCAAAUGGUUGAUGUGAGUUACCUCUGUUAUUAGAUCAUGGUGUUUUUGACGCCAACAGUGUCGUUCUUUAUCUGAAAUACUGAAAAUCUAUAAAGAUGAAGUUUCUGCUGAGUUGUUGAAGAUGACGAUGAGCUUGAUGACAAGAGGUCGAAAAUUGCAGUGAUAGAGAGCGGCGAUGGCAUGCACGUGGACAACAAGCUAGCUCCGCUUAUCAAGGACAGUUAGCAUAGUUCAGUAGAAUGUGAACACCUUUGCAAUACCUGUAAGAUGUUUUUUGUACAAAAUGCUUGUGCCCCUAUGUACGAUGUAUAUUUUGACCAUGAGAGUGAUAUAUGUGUUAAUUGAUAA